AUGAACGCUGGCGGCGUGCCUAAUACAUGCAAGUCGAGCGAACAGACGAGGAGCUUGCUCCUCUGACGUUAGCGGCGGACGGGUGAGUAACACGUGGAUAACCUACCUAUAAGACUGGGAUAACUUCGGGAAACCGGAGCUAAUACCGGAUAAUAUAUUGAACCGCAUGGUUCAAUAGUGAAAGACGGUUUUGCUGUCACUUAUAGAUGGAUCCGCGCCGCAUUAGCUAGUUGGUAAGGUAACGGCUUACCAAGGCAACGAUGCGUAGCCGACCUGAGAGGGUGAUCGGCCACACUGGAACUGAGACACGGUCCAGACUCCUACGGGUGGCAGCAGUAGGGAAUCUUCCGCAAUGGGCGAAAGCUUGACGGAGCAACGCCGCGUGAGUGAUGAAGGUCUUCGGAUCGUAAAACUCUGUUAUUAGGGAAGAACAAAUGUGUAAGUAACUAUGCACGUCUUGACGGUACCUAAUCAGAAAGCCACGGCUAACUACGUG
rnacentral:rRNA from 1 species